rnacentral:rRNA from 1 species
CUGCAUGGCUGUCGUCAGCUCGUGUCGUUAGAUGUUGGGUUAAGUCCCGCAACGAGCGCAACCCUUGUCAUUAGUUGGUACGAAAGGGCACUCUAAUGAGACUGCCGGUGACAAACCGGAGGAAGGUGGGGAUGACGUCAAGUCCUCAUGGCCCUUAUGGGUAGGGCUUCACACGUCAUACAAUGGUCGGGACAGAGGGAUGCCAACCCGCGAGGGGGAGCCAAUCUCAGAAACCCGAUCGUAGUCCGGAUUGGAGUCUGCAACUCGACUCCAUGAAGUCGGAAUCGCUAGUAAUCGCGGAUCAGCAUGUCGCGGUGAAUACGUUCCCGGGUCUUGUACACACCGCCCGUCACACCAUGGGAGUGGGUUUUACCAGAAGUAGUUAGCCUAACCCGCAAGG